rnacentral:rRNA from 1 species
GUGUCAGCAGCCGCGGUAAUACGGAGGGUGCAAGCGUUAUCCGGAAUCAUUGGGUUUAAAGGGUCCGCAGGCGGGUUUAUAAGUCAGUGGUGAAAGCCUACAGCUCAACUGUAGAACUGCCAUUGAUACUGUAGAUCUUGAAUUCGGUCGAAGUGGGCGGAAUAUGACAUGUAGCGGUGAAAUGCUUAGAUAUGUCAUAGAACACCGAUAGCGAAGGCAGCUCACUAGGCCUGGAUUGACGCUCAGGGACGAAAGCGUGGGGAGCAAACAGGAUUAGAAACCCCAGUAGUCC